rnacentral:rRNA from 1 species
CGUACACUCCUGCGGGAGGCAGCAGUGGGGAAUAUUGCACAAUGGGCGCAAGCCUGAUGCAGCCAUGCCGCGUGUAUGAAGAAGGCCUUCGGGUUGUAAAGUACUUUCAGCGGGGAGGAAGGCGAUAAGGUUAAUAACCUUGUCGAUUGACGUUACCCGCAGAAGAAGCACCGGCUAACUCCGUGCCAGCAGCCGCGGUAAUACGGAGGGUGCAAGCGUUAAUCGGAAUUACUGGGCGUAAAGCGCACGCAGGCGGUCUGUCAAGUCGGAUGUGAAAUCCCCGGGCUCAACCUGGGAACUGCAUUCGAAACUGGCAGGCUAGAGUCUUGUAGAGGGGGGUAGAAUUCCAGGUGUAGCGGUGAAAUGCGUAGAGAUCUGGAGGAAUACCGGUGGCGAAGGCGGCCCCCUGGACAAAGACUGACGCUCAGGUGCGAAAGCGUGGGGAACAAACAGGAUUAGAAACCCCGGUAGUCCCAU